CCCUUAGAUGUCCUGGGCCGCACGCGUGCUACACUGACGUAUACAGCGAGCACUUUCCAGUUCCGAGAGGCUACUGGUAAUCAUCAAUAUGCGUCGUGAUGGGGAUAGAUCUUUGGAAUUCUGGAUCUUGAACGAGGAAUGCCUAGUAAUCGCAGGUCAUUAGCCUGCGAUGAUUAAGUCCCUGCCCUUUGUACACACCGCCCGUCGCUACUACCGAUUUCGAGUGGUCAGGUGAAUCUUUCGGACUGUGGGCGCCCUUGAGGUGUUCGCGGAAAGUCAGGUAAAUCUUAUCACUUAGAGGAAGUAAAAGUCGUAACA
rnacentral:rRNA from 1 species